rnacentral:rRNA from 1 species
UACGUAGGGACCAAGCGUUGUUCGGAUUUACUGGGCGUACAGGGCGCGUAGGCGGCAAUUCAAGUCAUCUGUGAAAUCUCCGGGCUUAACUCGGAACGGUCAGAUGAUACUGCUUUGCUAGAGUGCGGAAGGGGCAAUCGGAAUUCUUGGUGUAGCGGUGAAAUGCGUAGAUAUCAAGAGGAACACCUGAGGUGAAGACGGGUUGCUGGGCCGACACUGACGCUGAUAGCGCGAAAGCCAGGGGAGCAAACGGG